rnacentral:rRNA from 1 species
UGAGUACGAGCUGCUACGGCAGCGAAGUGGGUGACGUCAAGCUUCCAAGAAAAGCCCUAUACCCGUUAAGGCAUGAUGGCCUGUACCCGAAACCGACACAGGUGGGGUGGUAGAGAAUACCGAGGGGCGCGAGAUAACUCUCUCUAAGGAACUCGGCAAAAUGGCCCCGUAACUUCGGGAGAAGGGGUGCCACCGCAAGGUGGUCGCAGUGAAGAGGCCCAGGCGACUGUUUACCAAAAACACAGGUCUCCGCUAAGUCGCAAGACGAUGUAUGGGGGCUGACGCCUGCCCAGUGCCGGAAGGUUAAGGAAGCUGGUCAGCGUAAGCGAAGCUAGCGACUGAAGCCCCGGUGAACGGCGGCCGUAACAAUAACGGUCCUAAGGUAGCGAAAUUCCUUGUCGGGUAAGUUCCGACCCGCACGAAAGGCGUAACGAUCUGGGCGCUGUCUCGGAGAGAGGCUCGGCGAAAUAGAAUUGUCUGUGAAGAUGCGGACUACGUGCACCCGGACAGAAAGACCCUAUGAAGCUUUACUGUAGCUUGGUAUUGUGCUCGGGCUCGGAAUGCGCAGGAUAGGUGGGAGGCUAUGAACCAUUGCUUGUGGGUGAUGGUGAGCCACUGGUGAGAUACCACUCUUUCCGAGCUAGAGUUCUAACAGCCACCCGUUAUCCGGGGGCUGGACAGUAUCAGGUGGGCAGUUUGACUGGGGCGGUCGCCUCCUAAAAGGUAACGGAGGCGCGCAAAGGUUUGCUCAGGCUGGUUGGAAAUCAGCCGACGAGUGUAAAAGCAGAAGCAAGCUUGACUGUGAGACCUACAAGUCGAACAGGGAGGAAACUCGGCUUUAGUGAUCCGACGGUUCUGCGUGGAAGGGCCGUCGCUCAACGGAUAAAAGUUACUCUAAGGAUAACAGGCUGAUCUCCCCCAAGAGUUCACAUCGACGGGGAGGUUUGGCACCUCGAUGUCGGCUCAUCGCAGCCUGGGGCUGAAGUCGGUCCCAAGGGUUGGGCUGUUCGCCCAUUAAAGCGGUACGCGAGCUGGGUUCAGAACGUCGUGAGACAGUUCGGUCCAUAUCCGGUGCAUGCGCAGGAAUAUUGAGAGGAUUUCUCCCUAGUACGAGAGGACCGGGAGGAACGCACCUCUGGUGUACCAGUUAUCGUGCCAACGGUAAACGCUGGGUAGCCAUGUGCGGAGAGGAUAACCGCUGAAAGCAUCUAAGUGGGAAGCCCACCUCAAGAUGAGUAUUCCCAUGGGUUAACCCAGUAAGGUCACGGGAAGAACACCCGUUGAUAGGCUCUACGUGGAAGCGCAGUAAUGUGUGAAGCGGAGGAGUACUAAUAGACCGAGGGCUUGACC